GUCUUUUAGAAAUUUAUUUAAAGUCUAACCUGCCCAUUGAUUUAUUUAAAAGGCUGCGGUAAUUUGACCGUACAAAGGUAGCAUAAUCAUUAGUUUUUUAAUUGGAAACUUGUAUGAAUGGUUGAAUGAGGCAUUAACUUUUUUAGAAGAAAAAUUGAAUUUUACUUUUUAAUUAAAAGGUUAAAAUAAAGUUAAAAGACGAGAAGACCCUAUAGAGUUUUAUAAAUUUUUUUAUAUUUAUUUUAAUUAAAGAUUACAUUUUAUUAUAUAAGUAAAUUUAUUUUAUUGGGGUGAUAAUAAAAUUUAAAAAACUUUUAUUUUUAUUUUACAUUAAUAUAUGAUUAAUUGAUCCAUUAAUAAUGAUUAUAAGUUUAAGUUACCUUAGGGAUAACAGCGUAAUUUUUUUUUAAGUUCUUAUUAAUAAAAAAGUUUGCGACCUCGAUGUUGGAUUAAGAUUAAUUUUAGGUGCAGAAGUUUAAAAUUUAAGUCUGUUCGACUUUUAAAUUCUU
rnacentral:rRNA from 1 species